rnacentral:lncRNA from 1 species
CGAUAUCCCAUGAUCAAAUAUCCAUAAUUCUAUACAUAAUCAAUUUCAAUAAUUAGAAAGAAUACGAAUACCAUAUUUCAACGAUUUAGAUUGGGUCCGAUCAUCUAAUUUCAUCUAAUCAAAAUCUAAUUAGGACCUAAACGAUCCAAAAUUUGACUAUCAGAUCAAAUCGGAUUCGAAGUGAUAGGAUCGAGGUUUCUUUAUCGAUUUCAUAAAAUCAAGUAGAGAGAGAAAAUCAGAGGAAAGAAAAUUCAUGAGGUACAAUUCGAAUUGAUCAGGUAACACAAUCCAAUAUUACGAUUGAUCCAAUAUCUCAAUUGGUGAAAUCAACAUGAUCAAAUCAAGUCAUAGCU